rnacentral:tRNA from 1 species
GGACCCGUAGCUCAGCCAGGACAGAGCGCCGGCCUCCUAGCAGCCGGUGGUCCCGGGUUCAAAUCCCGGCGGGU